ACCUCGAUGUCGGCUCGUCUCAUCCUGGGGCUGGAGAAGGUCCCAAGGGUUGGGCUGUUCGCCCAUUAAAGAGGCACGCGAGCUGGGUUCAGAACGUCGUGAGACAGUUC
rfam:Leptotrichia hofstadii F0254 genomic scaffold Scfld1, whole genome shotgun sequence.